rnacentral:rRNA from 1 species
GGGAUAAGCCUGGGAAACUGGUCUAAUACCGGAUAUGACCAUGGGAUGCAUGUUCUGUGUUGGAAAGCUUUUGCGGUUUGGGAUGGGCCCGCGGCCUAUCAGCUUGUUGGUGGGGUAAUGGCCUACCCAAGGCGACGACGGGUAGCCGACCUGAGAGGGUGAUCGGCCACACUGGGACUGAGACACGGCCCAGACUCCUACGGGAGGCAGCAGUGGGGAAUAUUGCACAAUGGGCGCAAGCCUGAUGCAGCGACGCCGCGUGAGGGAUGACGGCCUUCGGGUUGUAAACCUCUUUCACCAGGGACGAAGCGUGAGUGACGGUACCUGGAGAAGAAGCACCGGCCAACUACGUGCCAGCAGCCGCGGUAAUACGUAGGGUGCAAGCGUUGUCCGGAAUUACUGGGCGUAAAGAGCUCGUAGGCGGUUUGUCGCGUCGUCUGUGAAAUUCUGCAACUCAAUUGCAGGCGUGCAGGCGAUACGGGCAGACUUGAGUACUACAGGGGAGACUGGAUUCCUG